GCCAAUGUGGUAUAGCGGUCUGAGUGUUGCACUAUUACUCUGGAGAACAGGGUUCGAAUCCCUCCAUUGCCA